AUUGCUUCUCGGCCUUUUGGCUAAGAUUAAGUGAAGUAUCUAAUAAUCAAUACAUGGAUUAACCUGACAGGAUUUACUGAAAUGUUAAUUACUUUUAAGUCUUAUUUGCAAAUCUUCAUUGUUAAAACUAGCCAGCAGGCUAACAUGACAAGUUAGCACUAGCCAAGUAGCUAGCAGGAGCU